rnacentral:rRNA from 1 species
AUACAGAGGGUGCGAGCGUUAAUCGGAAUUACUGGGCGUAAAGCGCGCGUAGGCGGCUUAUUAAGUCAGAUGUGAAAUCCCCGGGCUCAACCUGGGAACUGCAUCUGAUACUGGUAAGCUAGAGUCUUGGAGAGGGAAGUAGAAUUUCAGGUGUAGCGGUGAAAUGCACAGAGAUCUGAAGGAAUACCAGUGGCGAAGGCGACUUCCUGGCCAAAAACUGACGCUGAGGUGCGAAAGCGUGGGUAGCAAACGGGAUUAGAAACCCUAGUAGUCC